GGCACGCCCGAAGUCGUUACUCCAACCCUUGUGGAGGAGGACGCCGAAGGUGGGGCUGAUGACUGGGGUGAAGUCGUAACAAGGUAGCCGUACCGGAAGGUGCGGCUGGAUCACCUCCUAACAGGGAGACACAACUGAUCGUGAUGUCUGAGCGCCACUGGAGUCAAAGCUCAAGAGGCAUUUUGUUUCAGGCCACGAUCCUGUCAUCUCGAAGGUCGAUCGGUACCUCAAGGUGAGCCAUCAAUGCCAGGGAUGAAUCCCCAGAGCUCGAGAGAGCGGCAAGGAGGAAGCCAGGGAUGAUGUGAUGGUUUCGUUUUCAGUUCCUAAACUUUGUCUAGGUCACCCCACCAAGGGUCCUGGCGAUCAAGGCGAUCAAGGCGCUGCCGGAAGGUGCGUCAAGAAACCGCCGCCGCGUUCAGGCCCGUGUCAGAGUGAUUGUUCCUGGGCCAUUAGCUCAGGUGGUUAGA
rnacentral:misc_RNA from 1 species